UAUAAUCGUCUUGUAUCAGCCAUGGUCAACUGCAGCAUGUUCUUCGAUAUUGCCACCGACGGCGAGCCCUUGGGCCACGUCUCCUUCGAGCUGUUUGCAGACAAAGUUCCAAAGACAGCAGAAAACUUUCAUGCUCUGAGCACUGGAGAGAAAGGAUUUGGUUAUAAGGGUUCUUGCUUUCACAGAAUUAUUCCAGGGUUUAUGUGCCAGGGUGGUGACUUCACACGCCAUAAUGGCACUGGUGGCAAGUCUAUCUACGGGGAGAAAUGUGAAGAUGAAAACUUUGUCCUGAAGCAUACAGGUCCUGGCAUCUUGUCCAUGGCAAAUGCUGGACCCAACAUGAAUGGUUCCCAGUUUUUCAUCUGUACUACCGAGACUGAGUGGUUGGAUGGCAGCACGUGGGCUUUGGCAAGGUGAAAGAAGGCAUGAAUGUUGUGGAAGCCAUGGAGCACUUUGGGUCCAAGAAUGGCAAGACCAGCAAGAUGACCCCCAUUACUGAAUAUGGACAACUGUAA